rnacentral:rRNA from 1 species
UCCAUCCGAUACUGCCAGUAGCAUAUGCGUGUCUCAAAGAUUAAGCCAUGCACGUGUAAAUACAAACUACUGGUACAGUGAAACUGCAAAUGGCUCAUUAAAUCAGUUAUUGUUGCAUUGAUCGCUCCAUCUGUUACUUGGAUAACUGUGGUAAUACUAGAGCUAAUACAUGCCGAUGACCGCGGACCUCUCGGGAUGCGUGCAUUUAUCAGACCAAGACCAAUCCUGGCUCGCCCGGCCGCUUUGGUGACUCUAGAUAAUCUCAGGCCAAUCGCACAUCCAUGUGACCGCGACAAUGCUUUCAGAUGUCUGCCCCACUUUCGAUGGUACUUUCUGUGCCUACCAUAUUGACCACGGGUAAUGGGGAAUCGGGGUUUGAUUCUGGAGAGAGAGCCUGAGAAACGGCUACCAUAUCAAUGAAAGCAGCAGGCGCCCAAAUUACCAAUCCCGACUCCGGAGGGAGUGACGAAAAAUAACAAUACAGUACUCUUUCGAGGCACUGUAAUUGGAACGAGUACACUUUAAAUCCUUUAACGAGUACCCAUUGGAGGGCAAGUCUAGUGCCAGCAGCCGUGGUAAUUCCAGCUCCAAUCGCAUUAAAGUUGCUGCAGUUAAAAAGCUCGUAGUUUGAUCUUGGGACCGAGUUGGCGGUCCGCCGCGAGGCAAGCUACACUACCUGUCCCAGACCCUGCCUCUUGGCGCCCCUUGAUGCUCUUGACUGAGUGUCCUGGGGGUCUGAAGCAUUUACUUUGAAAAAAGUACAGUGUUCAAAGCAGGCUGGUUGCCUGAAUACUUAAGAUAGGAAUAAUGGAAUAGGACACUGGUUCUGUUUUGUUUUGGAACUGGGGCCGUGAUUAAGAGGGACGGCCGGGGCAUUCAUAUUGUGCCGCUAGAUGUGAUAUCCUUGGACCAGCGCAAGGCGAACCAAAGUGAAAGCAUUAGCCAAUAAUGUUUUCAUUAAUCUACUGUCGUAGUUCCAAACAUAAACUAUGCCGAUUAGCGGUCUGGCUGUGUUAUUCCCAUGACCAGCCGAGCAGCUUCCGGGAAACCAAAGUCUUUGGGUUCUGGGGGGGAGGAGUAUGGUUGCAAAGCUGAAACUUAAAGGAAUUGAUGGAAGGGCACCACCAGGAGUAGAGCCUGCGUCUUGAAACCUCACCCGGCCCGGACACGGAAAGGAUUGACAGAUAGAUAGCUCUUUCUUGAUACUGUGGGUGUUGGUGCAUGGCCGUUCUUAGUUGGUGGAGCGAUUUGUCUGGUUAAAUCCGAUAACGAACAAGACUCCUCCAUGCUAACUAAUUAUUUGCCAUGAACGAGCGGGUCAUAAGCUUGCGUUGAUUAACUCCUUGCCCUUUGUACAUACCGCCUGUCGCUACUACAGAUUGGAUCGUUUAGUGAGGUCCUCGGAUCGGCGAGAGGAUGAUCAAACUUGACUAUCUAGAGGAAGUCAUACGGGUUGGGUUAACCUGCUGGGGACGUUCUG